GAUGAACGCUGGCGGCGUGCCUAAUACAUGCAAGUCGAGCGGGAACACUUCGGGUGACGAGCGGCGGACGGCUGAGUAACACGUAGGAACGUACCCAAACUGAGGGUUAAGCACCGGAAACGGUGUCUAAUACCGCAUGUGGUCUUCGGAUUAAAGCUUCGGCGGUUUGGGAACGGCCUGCGCAUGAUUAGCUUGUUGGUGAGGUAAUAGCUCACCAAGGCGACGAUCAUUAGCUGGUCUAAGAGGAUGAUCAGCCAGACUGGGACUGAGAACGGCCCAGACUCCUACGGGAGGCAGCAGUAGGGAAUCUUCCACAAUGGGCGAAAGCCUGAUGGAGCAACGCCGCGUGCAGGAUGAAGGCCUUCGGGUCGUAAACUGCUUUUAUUGGUGACGAUUAUGACGGUAGCCAAUGAAUAAGGAUCGGCUAACUCCGUGCCAGCAGCCGCCGUAA
rnacentral:rRNA from 1 species